rnacentral:rRNA from 1 species
CCCUUAGAGUUUGAUCCUGGCUCAGGACGAACGCUGGCGGCGUGCUUAACACAUGCAAGUCGAGCGGAAAGGCCCUUCGGGGUACUCGAGCGGCGCAACGGGUGAGUAACACGUGAGCAACCUGCCCCAGGCUUUGGGAUAACCCCGGGAAACCGGGGCUAACACCGAAUAUUACCUCUGAUCGCAUGGUUGGUGGUGGAAAGUUUUUCGGCUUGGGAUGGGCUCGCGGCCUAUCAGCUUGUUGGUGGGGUGAUGGCCUACCAAGGCGACGACGGGUAGCCGGCCUGAGAGGGCGACCGGCCACACUGGGACUGAGACACGGCCCAGACUCCUACGGGAGGCAGCAGUGGGGAAUAUUGCACAAUGGGCGGAAGCCUGAUGCAGCGACGCCGCGUGAGGGAUGACGGCCUUCGGGUUGUAAACCUCUUUCAGCAGGGACGAAGCGUAAGUGACGGUACCUGCAGAAGAAAGCGCCGGCCAACUACGUGCCAGCAGCCGCGGUAAGACGGUAGGGCGCGAGCCGUUGUCCGGAUUUAUUGGGCGUAAAGAGCUCGGUAGGCGGCUUGGUCGCG